UACGUAGGGCGCAAGCGUUGUCCGGAAUUAUUGGGCGUAAAGAGUUCGUAGGCGGUUUGUCGCGUCCGUUGUGAAAGCUUGGGGCUCAACCCCAAGUCUGCAGUGGAUACGGGCAGACUAGAGUGCGGAAGGGGCAACUGGAAUUCUCGGUGUAGCGGUGAAAUGCGUAGAUAUCGAGAAGAACACCUGCGGCGAAGGCGGGUUGCUGGGCCGACACUGACGCUGAUGCGCGAAAGCCAGGGGAGCGAACGGG
rnacentral:rRNA from 1 species